GUCCCCGUGGAUCUAUAAUCGGCUAGCAUUUCUUACAAUAUUGAACAAAUUUGAAGUCCGCAAUUUAACUAAAAUGGAACCCCCUCGACAGAUUGCAGGAUCGUUGUCAACUUGCGUUACGACAAAUGUAGUAACGGAGAUAUACGAGUGGAACUUGAUAAUUCCACACGCACUGUGUGUGCCUGACGAGGAUCCAUUUUUUUCCGUUCGUCUCUUUUGGUCGUCACGAUUUUACGACUGGGUCAUUCUCCAAAUAUGAAGACGCUUUUGUUAACGCACAGAUUGAACGACACGGAUCCAAGAUUUGGGUGACUAUUGUUCUACCUCCGUCUUCCGAACGGGGUCCAGUAUUUCGGAUAAAGCCAAUGAAGCUUUAUUUUAUGGAAAUGGGAAAAGUCCUCAGUGUUUUGAAGCAUGAGUUCACCAACUCGGACAAAUUGGGGUGUACAGGUUUCGCCGAUCAUAUUAAUAUGUCUGAUCAUUAUGUUCCCACCGUGGAUAAAAUUCGGCUCCGAUUUUUCAUCGAUGUUCAAAAAGCAUAUGAAGUGGCAGACGUGGAUAGAUCAUCGCAUUCUGAUUCGCUGCAUUCCGCGGACGCAAAGCAUCCUUUGACCGACUUAAAAACAUCACUGGGAAAAUUUAUCAAUUCUGCAAAAAUGUCGGAUGUUGUGAUUUGCUGUGAAGAUCGGGAAUUUUUAGCAAAUCGAUUGGUUCUUUCAGGUAGGCUGUGUUGAUUAUUACAAUUUCAAUCUAAUACAUCCCUCGAUUUUAUUUUUUUCUGUUUUAUCCCUUAACUAAAUCGUUCAAUUUAAAAUUACUCAGCGUACUUAACGCCAACUUUAGCAUAUCUCGUAAAUUGAGCUGAGCAACACAUUUAAAGUGCGAAGUUUUGCA